rnacentral:rRNA from 1 species
AGAUUGAACGCUGGCGGCAUGCCUUACACAUGCAAGUCGAACGGCAGCACGGGAGCAAUCCUGGUGGCGAGUGGCGAACGGGUGAGUAAUAUAUCGGAACGUGCCCAGUCGUGGGGGAUAACGCAGCGAAAGCUGUGCUAAUACCGCAUACGAUCUAUGGAUGGAAAGCGGGGGAUCGCAAGACCUCGCGCGAUUGGAGCGGCCGAUAUCAGAUUAGCUAGUUGGUAGGGUAAAGCCUACGAAGGCGACGAUCUGUACGCUGGUCUGAGGAGGACGACCAGCCACACGUGGAACUGAGACACGGUCCAGACGUCCUACGGGAGCAGCAGGUGGGUAAUUUUGGACAAGUGGCGCGAAGCCU